rnacentral:lncRNA from 1 species
CAAAAAUUCUCAAUAAAAUCCUGGCGAAUCGAAUACAAAAGCAUAUCAAAAAAAUUGUGCACCAUGAUCAAGUAGGAUUCAUCCCUGGGAUGCAAGGCUGGUUCAAUAUACGGAAAUCAAUAAAUGCUAUUCACCACAUCAAUAGACUUAAAGACAAGAACCAUAUGAUCAUCUCGAUAGAUGCAGAAAAAGCAUUCGACAAAGUACAGCAUCCCUUUAUGUUCAAAACACUAGAAAAACUAGGGAUAACAGGAACUUACCUCAACAUUGUAAAAGCUAUAUAUGCUAAACCUCAGGCUAGCAUCAUCCUAAAUGGAGAAAAACUGAAGGCAUUCCCUCUAAAAUCUGGAACAAGACAGGGAUGCCCUCUCUCACCACUUCUAUUCAAUUUAGUUCUUGAAAUACUAGCCAGAGCAAUUAGACAGACAAAAGAAAUUAAAGGCAUAAAAAUAGGAAAAGAAGAACUUAAAUUAUCGCUAUUUGCGGGUGACAUGAUAAUAUAUUUAACAGACCCAAAAGGGUCUACAAAGAAACUGCUAGAGUUAAUAAAUGAAUUCAGCAAAGUGGCAGGAUAUAAAAUCAACAUGCAUAAAUCAAAGGCAUUCCUGUAUAUCAGCAACAAAACUUCUGAAAUGGAAAUGAGGAAAACCACUCUAUUCACAAUAUCCUCAAAGAAAAUAAAAUACUUGGGAAUCAACCUAACAAAAGAGGUGAAAGAUUUAUUCAAUGAAAACUACAGAAUCCUAAAGAGAGAGAUAGAAGAAGAUCUUAGAAGAUGGAAAAAUGUACCCUGUUCAUGGAUAGGCAGAACUAACAUCAUCAAAAUGGCGAUAUUACCCAAAGUUCUCUACAGGUUUAAUGCAAUGCCAAUCAAAAUCCCAACUGCAUUUCUUGUAGAAAUAGAUAAAGCAAUCAUGAAAUUCAUAUGGAAAAAUAAAAGACCCAGAAUAGCAAAAGCAAUUCUAAGCAGGAAGUGUGAAUCUGGAGGUAUAGCGAUACCAGAUUUCAAAUUGUAUUACAGAGCAAUAGUAACAAAAGCAGCAUGGUACUGGUACCAAAACAGGCGGGUGGACCAAUGGUACAGAAUAGAGGAUACAGAGACUAAUCCACAAAAUUACAACUUUCUUAUAUUUGACAAAGGGGCUAAAAGCAUGCAAUGGAGGAAGGAUAGCAUCUUCAACAAAUGGUGCUGGGAAAACUGGAAAUCCAUAUGCAACAAAAUGAAACUGAAUCCCUUUCUCUUGUCAUGCACAAAAGUUAACUCAAAAUGGAUCAAGGAGCUAGAUAUCAAAACAGAGACACUGCAUCUGAUAGAAGAAAAAGUUGGCUACGAUCUACAUACUGUGGGGUCAGGCUCCAAAUUCCUUAACAGGACGCCCAUAGCCCAAGAGUUAAUAACAAGAAUAAACAAAUGGGACUUACUUAAACUAAAAAGUUUUUUCUCAGCAAGAGAAACAAUAAGAGAGGUAAAUAGGGAGCCUACAUCCUGGGAACAAAUCUUUACUCCUCACACUUCAGAUAGAGCCCUAAUAUCCAGAGUAUACAAAGAACUCAAAAAAUUAGACAAUAAGAGAACAAACAACCCAAUCAACAAAUGGGCCAAGGACCUGAACAGACACUUCUCAGAGGAGGACAUACAAUCAAUCAACAAGUACAUGAAAAAAUGCUCACCAUCUCUAGCAGUCAGAGAAAUGCAAAUCAAAACCACCCUAAGAUACCAUCUCACUCCAGUAAGAUUGGCAGCCAUUAUGAAGUCNAAAUACUAUUCACCACAUCAAUAGACUUAAAGACAAGAACCAUAUGAUCAUCUCGAUAGAUGCAGAAAAAGCAUUCGACAAAGUACAGCAUCCCUUUAUGUUCAAAACACUAGAAAAACUAGGGAUAACAGGAACUUACCUCAACAUUGUAAAAGCUAUAUAUGCUAAACCUCAGGCUAGCAUCAUCCUAAAUGGAGAAAAACUGAAGGCAUUCCCUCUAAAAUCUGGAACAAGACAGGGAUGCCCUCUAUCACCACUUCUAUUCAAUUUAGUUCUUGAAAUACUAGCCAGAGCAAUUAGACAGACAAAAGAAAUUAAAGGCAUAAAAAUAGGAAAAGAAGAACUUAAGUUAUCGCUAUUUGUGGAUGACAUGAUAAUAUAUUUAACAGACCCAAAAGGGUCUACAAAGAAACUGCUAGAGUUAAUAAAUGAAUUCAGCAAAGUGGCAGGAUAUAAAAUCAACAUGCAUAAAUCAAAGGCAUUCCUGUAUAUCAGCAACAAAACUUCUGAAAUGGAAAUGAGGAAAACCACUCCAUUCACAAUAUCCUCAAAGAAAAUAAAAUAAUUGGGAAUCAACCUAACAAAAGAGGUGAAAGAUUUGUACAAUGAAAACUACAGAAUCCUAAAGAGAGAGAUAGAAGAAGAUAUUAGAAGAUGGAAAAAAUGUACCCUGUUCAUGGAUAGGCAGAACUAACAUCAUCAAAAUGGCGAUAUUACCCAAAGUUCUUUACAGGUUCAAUGCGAUGCCAAUUAAAAUCCCAACGGCAUUUCUUGUAGAAAUAGAUAAAGCAAUCAUGAAAUUCAUAUGGAAAAACAAAAUACCCAGAAUAGCAAAA